rnacentral:rRNA from 1 species
GCAUAUCAAUAAGCGGAGGAAAAGAAACUAACAAGGAUUCCCCUAGUAACUGCGAGUGAAGCGGGAAAAGCUCAAAUUUAAAAUCUGGUGGCCUUUGGCCAUCCGAGUUGUAAUUUAGAGAAGCGUCUUCCGCGCUGGGCCGUGCACAAGUCUCCUGGAAUGGAGCGUCAUAGAGGGUGAGAAUCCCGUCUUUGGCACGGACGCACCAGGGCUUCUGUGAUGCGCUCUCGAAGAGUCGAGUUGUUUGGGAAUGCAGCUCAAAAUGGGUGGUGAACUCCAUCUAAAGCUAAAUAUUGGCGAGAGACCGAUAGCGAACAAGUACCGUGAGGGAAAGAUGAAAAGCACUUUGGAAAGAGAGUGAAACAGUACGUGAAAUUGUUGAAAGGGAAACGCUUGAAGUCAGUCGCGUCGUCCGAGACUCAGCCUUGCCUCGGCUUGGCGUACUUCUCGGCCGACGGGUCAGCGUCAAUUUUGCCCCUUGGAUAAUGGCGAGGGAAAUGUGACACCUUUACGGGUGUGUUAUAGUCUCUCGUCGCAUGCAAGGGUCGGGAUUGAGGAACUCAACACGCGCCCUCGGGCGUCGGGGUUUUUGCCCACGAUACGUGCUUAGGAUGUUGGCGUAAUGGCUUUAAACGACCCGUCUUGAAACACGGA